rnacentral:lncRNA from 1 species
GAAAAAGGAAACAGAUAGCCAAUCAAUGGUCUUACAUCUAACUCCAUAAAACAAAACAGGAAACCGAUAGCCAAUCAAUGGUCUUACAUCUAACUCCUCAAACAAACAACAAACAAACGGGAAACCGAAUGCCAAUAGAUGGACUUACAUCAAACUCCGAACAAGCAAACGCAAACAGGAAACGGAGUGCCAAUGGCUGGUCUUACAUCCGACUCCUAACACACACAACAGGGUGAAAAAAGAAAAGAGUGAAAAAGAAAAAGAGUGAAC